CAAUGCUUGCUUGAGCCAUUGCUUUACUAAAAUUAGUACAACACAGGAAGAUUAGCUUCAUCCCUUUACAAGAAUGGCAGGCAAAUCCAUGAAGUGUUGCACAUUUCU